GGAAUAUUGCACAAUGGGCGCAAGCCUGAUGCAGCAACGCCGCGUGCGCGAUGAAGGCCUUCGGGUCGUAAAGCGCUUUUCUGGAGGACGAGGAAGGACGGUACUCCAGGAAUAAGGAUCGGCUAACUACGUGCCAGCAGCCGCGGUAAAACGUAGGAUCCGAGCGUUAUCCGAAUUCACUGGGCGUAAAGCGCGAGUAGGCGGCCGGAUAAGUUGGAUGUAAAAUCUCCCGGCUCAACUGGGAGAGGACGUACAAGACUGUUUGGCUAGAGGGCGAUAGAGGGAAGCGGAAUUCCCGGUGUAGUGGUGAAAUGCGUAGAUAUCGGGAGGAACACCAGAGGCGAAGGCGGCUUCCGUGGGUCGUACCUGACGCUGAGAUGCGAAAGCUAGGGGAGCAAACGG
rnacentral:rRNA from 1 species